CUCUUCUCCCAGGCAUAUUAAAACUGUCAGCCAACUGAGUGCCAAGACCCUGGCUUAGAGACGUUGAGGAUACACACCCUAGCAGGGACAUGGAGCUACAGGAGGCAGAGUGUGUGCAGGAACUCAAAGCCCAUGGAACAGCAGGAUGCAGCUUUUCUUGGCUCCGUUACUGAGAGAUCCUGUCUGAUGUUUCCUCUCUGACAGGCCGUGACUGGGGACAUUUGGAUGGCCAGCAGAGCUGGAUUUAGAGGCAGAAGAGCUGGGCAGCUGUCCCAGUUACUCAUCUAUGAGGGGAGCUGAAAGAUCAUGAGAAUAAAUCAGAAAGAUGGUGCCAGUUAACCCCGCUUUCCACACAAGACUCUUGAUAUAAUUGGUGAAGUGGAAACUCCAGCCAAAGUACACUCCAUCCUCAAGCAAAACAUAAAACACACUCCUGAUGGAUACAGAAAGUUCUGGUGGCCUUAGAGCCUGAUUUGGUGCCAACCUGCCUGCGUUCAAAUCCAGGUUCCACUACUCACUGGAUGUGUGACCUUAGACAACUUCUUUCACCUCCUAGUGCUCUGUUCCCUUGGCUAUAAAAUAAAAAUUAUAAGAGUGCCAGUUUUGAACACUAAAUGGGCAUAAAGGAAACACUUAGACCCCAGACGGGCAUGUAGCAGGAACUUUAUAAUGGUUAGCUACUCAUUACCAUCUUUGUGAUGAGCUCAAGCAAGUUGCCUAAUGCCACUGGAGGCUGCACCCCUACCUGAGACAGCCACCUGAACAUUUCCUUAACGUGCAGCCUCUGAGAGCUGAAACUCUGAAAGGAAGUCCUGCAUAAUGAGCAUUUAUUAUGUUCAAGUAAUUAAUUUUCUCUCUUAAAAAUGUAACCCCCUUAGUACACCUCAAAAGAAAUCAUCUGACUUAGAAAAUACAAAAGACAUCUGAACAACAUCAAACAUUACAGAAAAGUUUUGCCCACGUGAAAGUCCCACUCCACCCCACCGCACCCCAAGAAAAGCAAAGCAAACAUAAAACCAACUUUUGAACAUUUUGAACAAGUGUUUGUAACCAUAUCGAUAUAUGCAUUACCUCUGUCCUGAGUGGGUAAGUAGCCAACUCUUUCCAUUUAGGAGUGUUAGAAAAACUGUGAAGGAAAGACCGUUUCAAGUAAGCCAAAACGUUAUGCCGUGUUUGAUGUUUGUAAUAAAUCCCUUACUUUCAGCAGAGAGGCACAUGACUUCUACUAAUGGAAA
rnacentral:lncRNA from 10 species